AUUGAACGCUGGCGGCAGGCCUAACACAUGCAAGUCGAACGAGUGGCGGACGGGUGAGUAAUGUCUGGGAAACUGCCCGAUGGAGGGGGAUAACUACUGGAAACGGUAGCCAAUAACGCAUACCAUCGGAUGUGCCCAGCUGGGAUUAGCUAGUAGGUGGGGUAAAGGCUCACCUGGGCGACGAUCCCUAGCUGGUCUGAGAGGAUGACCGGCAACACUGGAACGGAGACAGGGUCCAGACUCCUACGGGAGGCAGCAGUGGGAAAUAUUGCACAUUGGGCGCAGGCCGGAUGCAGCCAUGCCGCGUGGAUGAAGAAGGCCUUCGGGUGGUAAAGUACGUUCAGCGGGGAGGCGUUACCCGCAGAGGAAGCACCGGCUAACUCCGUGCCAGCCGCCGCGGUAAUAC
rnacentral:rRNA from 1 species